GCCCUCGGUGGCUCAGAUGGAUAGAGCGUCUGCCAUGUAAGCAGGAGAUCCCAGGUUCGAGCCCCGGUCGGGGCA
rnacentral:tRNA from 1 species